UACGGGGGGAGCAAGCGUUGUUCGGAUUUACUGGGCGUAAAGGGCGCGUAGGCGGCCACCGCAAGUCGACUGUGAAAUCUCCGGGCUUAACCCAGAACGGUCAGCUGAUACUGCGGGGCUAGAGUGCAGAAGGGGCAACUGGAAUUCUCGGUGUAGCGGUGAAAUGCGUAGAUAUCGAGAGGAACACCUGCGGCGAAGGCGGGUUGCUGGGCUGACACUGACGCUGACAGCGCGAAAGCUAGGGGAGCGAACGGG
rnacentral:rRNA from 1 species